UUAUUCGCUGUUCGAAGCAGAAUAAUUAUAAGACAUCGAUUGGUUCUAGUCGUAGACCCACAUAGAUUCGUCGCAAUCCAUGCGAGGGUCGAAAUAUUCGAAUUUCCGAAUUCACCAGCAAACCCAAGCUUAGCUAGAGUCAAGUAGCCACGGGCGCGCGGUUUGUUUUGAGGCGUCACCUCUGCUCAGCCCUGAAGGUGACGACCCACAACAAAGCGCUACGCUGCUGGCUACGCUGACUCCAGCACAGCUCGGGCUCCCUCGUAGACCGAGAAAUUCGAAUAUUUCGACCCAUGCACGGAUUGCGACGAAUCAAAGUGGGUCUACGACUAGAACCAAUCGAUGUCUUAUAAUUAUUCUGCUUCGAACAGCGAAUAAUUGAUGAUUACUUGAUCGAUUGCAUGAGUAGAUGAUUUUGGAUUU
rnacentral:misc_RNA from 1 species